CUCUGCCAUCACCAGCACGGCGUUCUUGUCUUCAAAGACCUUCCCGAUAACAGCCAGGAAGUCCUUCUUGGCCACCUUCAGCAAUGUCAAGCAUUCUGCUGGUGUCAGAUUAUCGGGUGCAGUCAACAGGGAGUGCCUAUGAGGAAAAUAAUAAAAUGAAUGAUCAUAACAUUAUCAGACACAUUGCUCACUUAUCUGUUCUGUAUUCCAAUUCACUGAUAUAAUAGUUCAACGUACCUCCUCUGGGUGAUCUCUUUGCUCACUUGCUUUGAGCAAACCUUCUGGCGCAACCCAAUGAACUCCAUAAAGCCCUUGCACUGCGCAUGGAGCUCUGGAUCAUCACUACUGAGGCUGGUGUUCACCGUGUGGAAAUAAAGGAAUCUGUUGGAGGAAGUGCAAGGAUUCUUUGCAUCACUGAGCUCACACAUGUAGGCCCGGAGCUUCUCUCUGUCCAUGACAAACCGCAGGGAUGGUGUCUGUGGGUCAGCGUAGUAAAGAAGCAACGUCAGAUGCAGGUUCGCUCUCCUCAGGCUCAGCACUCUGUGGUUGCUGUGUGGUUGAUGGACCUGGAACUGGGACGGGCAGAGUUGGAGGGAUACCAGUCACUACCAUGUGGUGACGCUGCAACUCCUCAAUCAUCCUAUCAAUGA
rnacentral:lncRNA from 1 species